CUUGAAGACACACAGUCACCAACCGCUUCAGGGCCACUCCUUAGUUUCCCAGUGUCCCUGCUCGGUGCUUCUAGAAACGUGGUCUUUGGACGUUGCGUACUUUCAAAUGCUGGUGAGAGCUGAAAGUAGGGAGCCUGGCACACUCGGUUCUCUAAGUAAUACGAAAUCCCCCCUCGGCCACAGCCACAGGGACGCUGGCCAGCCACGGGGAUCAGGACGGAGCCUGCUGAAGCCUGUUUCCCAAGAGCGGCCAGUGAAACCACGGAGGCCUGACCCAGUUUAAGGCAGCAGCGUACCUCUGGCCAGGAUGGCUGCUGGAAACCAGAGCCCGGCAAGGAGGUCACCAGCCUGGCUGCCAGGUAGGCGGUGGGCAGCAGGGGGUUAACGUGGGGAGCGGGGUGGGUGCUGCAAACAAAAGCCACAGGCAGGGGCACGGGGGCUGCAGGGCCCGGCCCAACAGGCACAGACACAGGGGCUCUGUCUCCCUGCCCGCUGCCCUGGCACUGUGACUAACCACCCCACUAUUGUGAGCCUGAAGCCAGCCCUUUGUAUCGUCCGCUGGCGUCUGGGAGCACAGUUGAAGAGCCCUUUCCACCAGUUCCCCCUUGCUCUGGAAGCUUACAGCCCAACACCCAUGCUUUUGGCUCCCAAGGACGCGGGGGGCUUGGUGAACCAGUAGAAGAGUCCUUUCCUGACCAAGACGGACGCUAGCAAAAAAAAAAAAAGCAUAAAACCAGUCUUCACCACUCUGGGAGGAAGGACAUGGGGACACAGGACCCUGCUAACCCUGAAGUGUCUGAAGCAGUCAUGUGUGGCAUCUGAGCCCUUGACAUGUGGAGAAUGAGAAGCGGGACACUUAUGUAGAAUAUGCUUAGGGUUUUCAGGACUGAGUGUGAAAAGUGUUGGCUAGCUCAUUAGCUCAUCGACUAGUUAUUUGGGAUAUACAGACGUGUAUUUUUUAGAGUAAAUGAAUUUUGUUAUUAAGUGACUCUCACCUCUUUAUUGUUACCUUCUAAAGCAGUUGCUGGAACACAUGAGAUCACAGAUGUAGCUGUUUGCAGCUUGUUGAGUUUCCCUGGAUGCUGCUGGACGAGCGCGUGGGUGCAGAGGCUAUGGACCGCCUGGAAGCCUGCUCUUUCUUAGGGGGCAAUAGCGCCCCACAAUCCGACCCUCACACACUGCCCUGACCCGGCCUUGCACAUGUGUGCCUCUUGAAUUGGAACUUGCACACUCAGAUGUCUGGGAAUCCAUUGUGAAACACGCAUGUGUGCACAUGAGGACACACACACACACACACACACACACGCAGGGGACCAGGCCCUGGCUUCUCUCCACAGCAGGCACGGAUAUCCCUCUAGCCUCUGGAGAAGCCCGAUUCACAGGGAACCCAAGAACUCUUGGGGCCAGACAUUGGACCCUUGGCCCUGGGACAGUCUGAACUAGCCAGGAUCAGAGCUGACCUUCAUGGGCCAGGGCACCUCUGCCUUCCCAGGCCCUUCCUCCAUAAAUAUUAAAAAUCAUAUUUUAUGACUGCAUUGGAUUACAGACCAAUAUAACCUAGGC
rnacentral:lncRNA from 1 species